CUAGCACUCCCGGAUCUCAAAAAAAAAAACUCCCUAGCACUCCCUCCCUGCGUCGCCGCCCAUCGAUCUACCACCUACUACGGAUCAGUCGGCCACCACAACCUCCCUUCCCAGUUGGCCGCCACAGCGCCACCACCCCCUCCCCCGGCAGCCAUGCACAUCGGGAGGCGACCACAUGCUUGGUGGGUCUCGGCCUCCCUCCUCUCAUCGUCCAAGGCCAGGAGCUCCCUUCCCUGACCGAUCUGACGGAGAGAGGGCUAGGCCUUGCCACUCAGAUGGUCGAUGUGGCCAGAUCCGGCCGGGGGAGCCGACACCUCGGCGGCACAGCAUCAACCCGACAGAAGGUGGGUGCUCGAGCUCAUCCAGCAGCUCGUCAUCGACCAGGAGGCCUCUGCCUCGACUGCAACCGUCCAUGGAUCUCUAUUGCAAGCACCUUGUAUCUAUUGAUGUUCUUCCGCCCAUCUAAAAUCCACAUGUUUUUACGGGACCUAAAUUCCACAUGUUAUAUGAGUGGUACAGAUGCAUGGAUUGGCGAUAUUAUUUUGGCUUGGAUUCAAAUUGGCAAUCUGGCGAUAUGAGUAUUUGUACAAACCGCCGAGGACCUCAAAUUCACAUGUUUCAGGCCUGAUGAGUAUCAAAUGUCAUGAGAAAUUCAAGAAUUGCAUGGGAAGGGUAAAGGCGACUAGCAGAUUGGGUUCUCCAAGGAACGCCAAUAUGAACUCACUUUUUGCAACACACAUGCUCAGCCAAUUGGGCAGCCAGUUGGGAGGUAGACAAUACAUUUUUCCUCUUUCACAAAUAAAAUAUUUUGAUACUCAAGAUUGGAUAUUAAGGCAUUAUUUUAAAUCAAUUUAUUGAUCCAAGGUCAUGGAAAGAACUAUUUUUUUCUCUUGUUGCAACACACAGGCUCAAAGGUACAGGUGCGCGAACCCCUACUUAUAUAUAGGCAUUUUCACGUGUGUGUUGGAGCUUUGUCUGAUCGUAUAUGCUGAUUAGUGCAUGGGUCCUGUUGAUUGAGAAUGCUUCGAUGGAUAGGGGAUUCCAUGAAAGAGUUGGUGUGGAUUAAUAUCCUUCAGAUUUUUGCGUGGCGUGGCCCUGACAUUUAUCAGGGACUAGAAUAUAUCUGAAUUGUGUGUAGCGAUUGUCCAUCUACUUAGUUAUUGUAGGCAUUCUGUUUCACAUAAAUAUAGAUAUAUUUGAAUCAUGAGUAACUACAUGUCCACUCUUCGUCCAAAGUUUUUGCUUAUGCAAUAUGAUUGGACUAUUUAGUUCGCAUCCUUCUCCCUUUGCAGAUUAUAAUGCAUUUUGAAAUUGUUCAUGUGCUUCAUUUUUGCACUCUUGCUACUCUCUGGAGAAAUUAUUUGCUCUACCUAAAGCAUGGCUCCUAUGUUGGUAUUCAUGGCCAAUCUAGCUAUCUUAUGUUUAGUAAAUUGUUUGCACUAAUGUACAGAGCCUUCUAAUUUUUUUGAUCCGUCCCAGUAUCCUGACCCAUUGUUUGCAUUUUACUUACACAUGCUCUAGAAAUUACACAGUAUGUAGCACAAGAUUAUACUGCUGAAUUGUUGAUGAUAUUAGUGGGCUCAAUCUUGUGGUGUCCUUACUCUGAAAACAACAUCCGACAUCGAUGAUUAUUGUUACCCCUACAGAUGGUUAGAUUUUGAAGGCUCUGUACUCGAAAUCAUAUGGGAAUUUCAUGUUGUUGCAUCCAGGUGCUGGAAUUCCUCACAUUGGAGUGAAAACAAUUAUGUCUAUGCAUGUAGCAGCAAGGGGAUGAGGCAGGGGAGGGAUGCCGUUAUUGCAUACAAGACAUGACUUCCACUACAAGAAACACUUAAGAAGAAUGAGCGCCUUUUAGGCCCAGGUCAUAUUCAAACAACAAUUUGCUAUCAUGCUCUCGCCAUUGCAUUCAGCUGUAUGAGUGCAUACAAGCUUUCAAUUCAGCAUGAAACACAGACACAUGAUAUACUGGUAAAUAGUUAGGGUCUGAUGAUUCAUGAACAAAAGAUUCAUAAAAUUGGUUGAAUCAUUUAAGGAGCGAGAACAACAAGUAUGUGAUGAAAAAUUAUUUCCCAUGGUUGUUUCACUCUUGGUUCAGGGAUUCUUGCACAUUAUCAAAGUAGCAACUUGUCAAGGUCAUUGCCAAAUGCCAACCAAUGUGCCGGCAUGGGACCGGGGAAAGGGAAAGACCAUGGAGGUGCAAGUCUGAGAUGAAGAUAUGGCGACACAUAAUUGAGCUAGAGGCAACAACACUCAGGCCAACAGAGGAAGGAGAUGGAAGGAGGAAGAAAAAGUCAUGGCCGUGGGGAUAAGAAUGAGUGGCUCACACCAUUAGUACUAGGGAUAAGGUUGGUAAAAAAGAAAGGAAACAUCGGCAUUGUGUGAGCCAACAUGAAACGAGCGCGGUGUGAUUGGGGUUGGCCGUUUUGAAUCGUUUUCCAUUCAACUACUGGUUGCUCGGUUUCAGCAAAAAAAAUUGA